rfam:Pantoea sp. AS1 6__len__215339, whole genome shotgun sequence.
GACCGACAUCAGCGACUCGUUCUGCGAGCCGGCACCCACCGCGAGAUAGGCGUUCAUGCCCAGCUCUUUCAUCUGCUGCUCGCCGAUCACGCGCGUAGUAACGUUUUUGCUGUAGGCGUCCGCUAGCUGGCGCGCCUGUGAGGCGAGAUAGGCCGCAUUGCAGAUGUUCGGCGGCAUAUUGCCGAGAUCUUUCGC